GACGAACGCUGGCGGCGUGCCUAAUACAUGCAAGUAGAACGCAGUUGCGAACGGGUGAGUAACGCGUAGGUUACUCCCUGGUAGCGGGGGAUAACAAUUGGAAACGAUAGUUAAUACCGCAUACUACCAGAUGGACCUGCGUUGUAUUAGCUAGUUGGUGAGGUAACGGCCCACCAAGGCAACGAGACAUAGCCGACCUGGGAGGGUGGUCGGCCACACUGGGGCUUGGGCAGCGCCCAGACUCCUACGGGAGGGCGCAGUAGGGAAUCUUCGGCAAUGGGGGGAACCCUGACCCAGCAACGGCGCGUGAGUGAAAAAGGUUUUCGGAUCGUAAAGCUAUUUUGUUAAGGAAGCGGUACUGAACCAGAAAGGGACGGCUAACUACGUGCCAGCAGCCGCGGUAAUAC
rnacentral:rRNA from 1 species